rnacentral:rRNA from 1 species
GAUCAUGGCUCAGAACGAACGCUGGCGGCAUGCCUAACACAUGCAAGUCGAACGAGACCUUCGGGUCUAGUGGCGCACGGGUGCGUAACGCGUGGGAACCUGCCUUUAGGUUCGGAAUAACUCAGAGAAAUUUGAGCUAAUACCGGAUAAUGUCUUCGGACCAAAGAUUUAUCGCCUUUAGAUGGGCCCGCGUUGGAUUAGCUAGUUGGUGGGGUAAAGGCCUACCAAGGCGACGAUCCAUAGCUGGUCUGAGAGGAUGAUCAGCCACACUGGGACUGAGACACGGCCCAGACUCCUACGGGAGGCAGCAGUGGGGAAUAUUGGACAAUGGGCGAAAGCCUGAUCCAGCAAUGCCGCGUGAGUGAUGAAGGCCUUAGGGUUGUAAAGCUCUUUUACCCGAGAUGAUAAUGACAGUAUCGGGAGAAUAAGCUCCGGCUAACUCCGUG